rnacentral:lncRNA from 1 species
AAAGAGUUCCCUUUAGAUAUCCCGUGUGAAAUCUUACAGCACAAUGGUUUGCAUUAAUGACAACUCCAACAAAUAUCUUAAUAUACAUACAUUGGAAAAUUAACCACAGAUAGUACAUAUAAAAUAUGUUGAGUAUUACACUUCAUAGGAUUUCUGUACACCACUGGUCAUGAUCUUACAGUAUGCACAUAUACCUCUUAAUUUCUCUAAUCACAUAGUAAUAAACUUGCAGUGGAAGGGAUACUAAACAGAGUUUUUGGAGAAAAUAGUGAUGAAAUCCACAAUUAGUACUUCUGAUAACAUUAGAUGAGAGAGAGAGAGACAGAGAGAGAGAGAGUAGUGCAGUUUUUAUUUUGUUGCAAAGACGCAUGUGCGAGUGUACUUGUCUAGUAAAUUAAUUCAAAAAAUGACAUAGUUCUUUUGAUAACCUUGUACGCCACGCAUUAACCCUUGGGGUGCUCACUCUUUGUCUCGAUGUCAGCAUUCUUCACAGGUUGAUAUAGUGUUCCCUUAUUCAUGAGUUAAGCUAGCACCACCUGCUCAUUGGAACACAUAUACUCAUAAUGGUGGUCCCUUGUGAUACAGAAAAAAAAUUGUGGGGAUAUUGCUCAGAUUCAGAAGGCAUUGUAUAGAUUUUUUUUGACUUAUUUUUAUUUAUCAUACUUUCUUACAUGGAAACAAUAUAUAUGCGCAUAGUAUAAGUUAUAUGUACAAAGCAUAAUGAAAAGGUUCAAAUAGCAUAAGACUGUUAUAAUCAAUAUGCAUGAUUAAAGAAGCUUACGUUCGCCUAUUUUUCUCAUAUCAAAUUCAUCAAUAAAAGCUACAGAAAAGCUAACCUUGCCUGACCAAAUACGGGUCAAAUUUGGAAAUUGUUCUGUUCAUCCCAUCCUCUCCUUGCUUUGGAUGCCUCGUAACUAUGCUCAUACACAUGCUAAUAAAUUAGCUCAAGUUAACCUAUAUUUUUUAAAGAACCAAGAGAACCAUGCAACUAAGUGCUGCAAAUACAGUACAUACAAAUGUUUUUCUUCAUAAAUAGUGGCAUAUUAUUGCUAUUACCAUUAUCUUUUCUGAGAAGCACGACAAAGACAUAAAAUUUUACCGUAUAACUUAUUAACCUUACCGAGCAUCAUAAUAUGACCAACUGUGAGAUUAAUUAUCUAAUUCUAUAUAUGCUUUUCCACAUGUUUCAAAUGCCUGAAUCAUUCCCCGAAAAAGAAGACGUCCUAAAUCUUAGAGGCCACUAUAUAACAUGUUUAGCUAUCCAGAUUGCCAGAUCUGCAAAAUCAAUCAGUAGAUGGUCAAUCACUUACCACAUGCAGUUUAAUUGUCCCAGCUUAACAUACGUACAAUGGUGGAGGCAGCUCAUCUGAUUAGAGAUCCGACUAUGCCUAGGGCGGCGCAUAGUCUGGCCCCUGCUGCAUAGGGAGGCAGCGCCUGGAUCUGAUUAGAGAGCCACACAUGGAGACACAUGAGCACGUCUGCACGGGCGCAAGUGUAACAAUCCCUGAAGGUAAAAGAACCAGCAGAUAUCAUCUAAACAAACAAAAUCAAAAUUAGCAACCUCCAGGAUGUAAACUAACCUGCAAUAGUUCAAGUGGCAGCAGCCUUGUCCUAAUAGAAAUCCCGUACUUUCUUCUGUCAUGCUCAUCUAGGAGGAUGGGACGAAAAAGGUGAAAGAUGAACAGGUGAUACUCUACUCAAGUCUCUCUUUUUGCAGGGAGGAACGGGAAC